GGGCUUCCCCUUCGGCGCCGGCCUCCCUAUAUUGAGGGGGUCGGUUUAGCGGCCGGCUAUGGUGAUAAACAGCCAUCGUAAUAAACCUUUCAGACCCGGGGGCGGCACCCAGCGCCCCUAUCCGAGCCCAGGCUCAGCCUGGGUUUCGCCGUGGGCGAAACAGGAUCGACGAAGGUGUAAAGGGUGGGCUUUCGCCUGGGAUGGUUCCGUCGUCACAGGGCCGAACGAUAGCUGCCGACGACAACUGUGCCGUGGAUGUUUGCGCGGCCGCGUCAUGCGGGCUAGCAAGUCCGACCAAAGCCCUCGGGGGUAGCACUUCGAGGCAGGGUUCGCAGGCACCUCGCAACACAAGCCUCUACU
rnacentral:tmRNA from 1 species